rnacentral:tRNA from 1 species
AGAGAUUUAUCUACCGGUUUUCCGGAUAGAUACAGAAAGACGACGAACAACAAACUGGCUUAAGACAAAUUUUCUUUUUCGCUUAGCUGUCAUUCUUUUAAUAUAUAUACUGUAAGAGAAAUCCAACAAGUAGAGUCUCGUAGCUCAGCUGGUUAGAGCGCUACACUGAUAAUGUAGAGGUCGGCAGUUCGAGUCUGCCCGAGACUACUAGAAACGAUUACAAAUUUUGCUUUUGGAACUUAUUACAGUAAAUUAGAGAAUCUAGGGUUAGCAAUGCCCCUGAAAGAGGGAAAUUGUCUCCCGAUUUUCAGGUUAUGGGGGAUUAGCUCAGCUGGCUAGAGCGCUUGAUUUGCAUUCAAGAGGUCAUCGGUUCGACUCCGAUAUUCUCCACAAUAACGUUCAUUGACAUAUUGAAAAUACAAGAGUUAACUAUUAUAGAAAUAUAAUAGAGUAACGAGCAAAUAAUAGAGAAUUUUUUUUAGAAGCAAUUUUAAAGAAAGAGUAAUAAAGUUAC